rnacentral:rRNA from 1 species
AGAAUUGAUCUUGGUCAGAGCGAACGCUGGCGGCAGGCUAACACAUGCAAGUCGAGCGGGCAUCGCAAGAUGUCAGCGGCAGACGGGAGAGUAACACGUGGGAACACGCCCUUCGGGUUCGGAAUAAACUCAGGGAAACUUGAGCUAAUACCGGAUACGUCCGUAAGGGGAAAGAUUUAUCGCCGAAGGAUUGGCCCGCGUCCGAUUAGCUAGUUGGUGAGGUAACGGCUCACCAAGGCGACGAUCGGUAGCUGGUCUGAGAGGAUGAUCAGCCUCACUGGGACUGAGACACGGCCCAGACUCCUACGGGAGGGCAGCAGUGGGGAAUAUUGGACAACGGGCGCAAGCCUGAUCCAGCCAUGCCGCGUGGGUGAUGAAGGCCCUAGGGUUGUAAAGCCCUUUCGGCGGGGAAGAUAAUGACGGUACCCGCAGAAGAAGCCCCGGCUAACUUCGUGCCAGCCGCAGC